UGAAUCGCCAAUUGCACGAACGUCGCAGACGAAAUAAAAUUUGCUUAAUCAGCAACGACAUGGAAACGUAUUGGAAACGACAAACCUCAAGCAAUGCCGGGUUUAUAAAUUGGAACGUGCGCACGCGGAUGGUGAUUUCUAAAACGGCGGCAAUUGCGGACUUCGAACUAUAAACGGCAACAACUGAAGAGUUUAUAAAUCCACCUUGAUUCCUUUCCAGACGGGAUAAAGAAAAUUUAAUUGAAAAAUGGGCGGAAAGGUAAAUGGUCAUUGUUAUGUCAUUUUAAUGAGUAAAAGUGAUUCUUUAGCUAUCGAAAACAGUGGCGGUGAAAGUGUGUACCAUGGGAUCAGGAAAUAGUAUAUUACGGUACAAGGUCCGCACUGCGUCUAUGACGCAACGUCAACUUCAAGCAGUCAGCUGACAGUCAGUGACAAACAGUCAAGCUGUCAGCAUGCGUGGCGAAAGUUAAAACUUUCAACACGGAGUGAAGAAAAUUUUAGGGAAAAAUGGGCGGAAAGAAUAUUUUGGGGAGACCUCGGCAAUAAAUUUCCAUCGGUUCAACGAGCUAAAGCCAUCAAAGACAAAAAGACAAACAAAAGUAACGUUUACGGAUUUGUGAGCUUCAAGGAACCAGAUGACCUUACGAAAGCGAUGGAGCAAAUCAAGGAUAAUUUUUGAAUUGAAGUCUAGAACUCGCCCGAUCAAGGUGCGACUCGAGGAGUCGGCGUAUAGCCUUAUAGGAGAUUUUGAUUACGACGGUGGAUAACGCGCACUUUUUUCUAUUGCUCACGAAACUUUCGCUUCAAUUGCACAUUUCGCCGAUUUGUGAUAAGUUUUUAAACAUCGCCAUGCAUCAGUGGACUUUUGGUUUCGCAAGCUGAUUUUUGCAGAUUUAUUUGUCGAAAACUGGCCCAGAUGGAGAAAUUUCGAUGACGGUAUUCGAUAAAGCCAACCUUCUACUGUUGCCGAACAUUGCGCUUUCUAUGAACUUUUCAUCAAUUUCUGGGGAUUUUUUAUGAUGACUUUACAAAAGCGAUGUAGGAAAUGAAGGAUAAUUUUUGAAGUCGUCCGAUCAAGUUGCGACCCGAGGAGUCGGCGCAUAGCCUUUGUCAAGAAGAAGAAAAAGGAGAAAGUUGCCCUAAUACAUCUGUUAACAUAUGGAGGAAAAUAGGCAACUCAACAUAAUUAGUAAAUGAAAUUUUGCGUUGCUAAUAUACAUUUUUAUAAGCAAUCGAUCGUUUAAAUUAUCGGAGAAGAGUGGAAAUAAUCAAAUUCUUCGAUGUAAAUCAGUUUUAUAAAGCAGGAUGAACUGUGAAUAAACAUAUUUUGUUUAAAUUUA